AAUCUGGAAGCAAAAAAAGCAAUCUGAACUGAAUGCGUUCAAUUGGGCAAAACUGAACGUUCUGAUUCUGAAAAAAAAAGAAUUUCUCUUCUGGUUUUUAAAACAGAAUCAGAAGCAGAAUCACUCACACAUUCAUAGAUUUAAAUGUCAGCAGUACAAAAUGUUUGCAGCACAAAUACAAAUGAAAUUUGGCGCGAAUACACAUAUAAGUGAAACAUGUUAAACACAAACAAUACAUUCACACCAAACUUCAGAUUCUUCGGAAUAAAAAAAAAACUGUUCAAUUGGGAUUCCAAAUCGAAGAACAAUUCCGGAUUGCCAAUUAAAAACGCCAUAAUUGUGUCUAGGUUUAAAAAAAUAUUAAGGGAGAAGUUUUAAAUACAUAUUUAAAAAAAUCUUGCCUGAAAAUUGAAUGAAAAUUAACCGACGCAAAUUUAUUGAGGUGUAGGCGUACGCUUUACAGGGUUGUGUAUUCGAUAUAGACGAAAAAUCCGUAAAAAGGACUUUUUGCUCGUUAUUGGAACAUUUUCAAUAAUCUACGGCAACCACUUUGCCCUCAUAAAUGGCUAUGACUCUUUUGGAAAUAUUUGCGGUGUUUGAUAUAAUAAACUAUAUAACAACAUUUCACUUUCCGGAAUGGACACAUCAACAAAACCAUUUGUCCUAUUUUUCGGACCGGAUAAUAUAUCAACGGUUAUGAAAAUUUGCAUUGAAGAAUGCCCCAAGAACUUGGUAGUCGACGAACUUGGUUAUCUUGAUUAUUGGAAACUAAAAAACUUAAAGUUUUGCCGCUACGAUUUUGAUAUGACGAAGCUGCUUUAUUUUCAUUAUUACAUAAACUACAAAUCAAGUAUUGGACCGUGUUCAUUAAGAAAUAUUUAUCCAAGUAUAUGUAUCUAUAAAACAUCGAUGUGUUCCAUUAGAUGUCAUCAAUAGCGUAGUAGAAACCUAUGGACUACUUAAUAGCAUGUUUGAUAAUGUUGUCCUGAUUUUUGUUAA